rnacentral:rRNA from 1 species
AGCGAACGCUGGCGGCAGGCUUAACACAUGCAAGUCGAGCGGGCACUUCGGUGUCAGCGGCAGACGGGUGGGUAACACGUGGGAACGUACCCUUUGGUUCGGAAUAACGCUGGGAAACUAGCGCUAAUACCGGAUACGCCCUUUUGGGGAAAGGCUUGCUGCCGAAGGAUCGGCCCGCGUCUGAUUAGCUAGUUGGUGGGGUAAUGGCCUACCAAGGCGACGAUCAGUAGCUGGUCUGAGAGGAUGAUCAGCCACACUGGGACUGAGACACGGCCCAGACUCCUACGGGAGGCAGCAGUGGGGAAUAUUGGACAAUGGGCGCAAGCCUGAUCCAGCCAUGCCGCGUGAGUGAUGAAGGCCUUAGGGUUGUAAAGCUCUUCUGUCCGGGACGAUAAUGACGGUACCGGAAGAAUAAGCCCCGGCUAACUUCGUG